UACGUAGGGUGCGAGCGUUAAUCAGAAUUACUGGGCGUAAAGCGUGCGCAGGCGGUUUUGUAAGCCAGGUGUGAAAUCCCCGGGCUCAACCUGGGAAUGGCAUUUGGGACUGCAAGGCUGGAGUGCGGCAGAGGAGACUGGAAUUCCUGGUGUAGCAGUGAAAUGCGUAGAUAUCAGGAGGAAUACCGAUGGCGAAGGCAGGUCUCUGGGCUGACACUGACGCUCAUGCACGAAAGCGUGGGGAGCAAACAGG
rnacentral:rRNA from 1 species